GCCUACGGGGGGCAGCAGUAGGGAAUCUUCCACAAUGGGCGAAAGCCUGAUGGAGCAACGCCGCGUGGGUGAAGAAGGUCUUCGGAUCGUAAAACCCUGUUGUUAGAGAAGAAAGUGUGUGAGAGUAACUGUUCACGUUUCGACGGUAUCUAACCAGAAAGCCACGGCUAACUACGUGCCAGCAGCCGCGGUAAUACGUAGGUGGCAAGCGUUAUCCGGAUUUAUUGGGCGUAAAGGGAACGCAGGCGGUCUUUUAAGUCUGAUGUGAAAGCCUUCGGCUUAACCGGAGUAGUGCAUUGGAAACC
rnacentral:rRNA from 1 species